AUUGAACGCUGGCGGCAGGCCUAACACAUGCAAGUCGAGCGAGCGGCGGACGGGUGAGUAAUGUAUGGGGGCUGCCCGAUAGAGGGGGAUAACUACUGGAAACGGUGGCUAAUACCGCAUACUAUCGGAUAACCCAUAUGUGAUUAGCUAGUAGGUGGGGUAAAGGCUCACUUGGGCGACGAUCUCUAGCUGGUCUGAGAGGAUGAUCAGCCACCUGGGGACGGAGACACGGCCCAGAUCCCUACGGAGGCAGCAGUGGGGAAUAUUGCACAAGGGGCGCAAGCCUGAUGCAGACAUGCCGCGUGUAUUAAGAAGGCCUUAGGGUUGUAAAGUACGUUCAGCGGGGAGGCGUUACCCGCAGAAGAAGCACCGGCUAACUCCGUGCCAGCAGCCGCGGUAAUUC
rnacentral:rRNA from 1 species